AGGCAUCCUCCUUGUGACAGCAAUGAUGUUGUUAACCUGCUCAUAAAUUAAUGCAUCUUUUGCUCUUCAGAUUUGUUGAGAUGGUCUUUUAUUCAUUUCCAUUAUUGAAGCUAGUCUAGUAGGCUGAGGAACAUU